GCACGGAGGAGCAGCCGGCUCGGCGCGGGCCCCGGGGCAGCGAUGCUGAUCCUGGCCGCCGGAGGGGCCAGAGCAUGGGCUGGACCCUGGGUCUGAGGCCGCGGGGACACAGCCGCCGUGAACCGGGACAUGCCUGUAGAUGGAGGAGGAGAACCACAUUUGUCAUCUUAAAGCUUCCAGUAGCUACAUUUUUUAAAGGAGUCCACCGGGUGCCUCCCACAGUCUCAGCCGUGAGUGCCCAGCAGUGUUUGUGAUGUCCCCCGCUUUGUACGAGCUGCUGUCCUGAACAGCACCCCUUCCACUGCCUUCUGGAGGGGCUGCCCGCAGAAGCGGGCAGCUCAGCUUCAUGCCAGGCACACCAGGCUCCCCUCUUCCCUUGGCUUCCCCUCGAGCCCAGCCAGAAUCAGCCUGUCUGCUGGAUCCCUCUCCUCGGCACCUUGUCCCCACCUUUGCUGGCUCCUCUGGGGCUGCACUGGUCCCUAGGCUGUGUGUGAUCCAGGGUGCCCGUGGGGUCCCCUGGGCUCCACUGCCCCAGCUGCUGUGAAGGACAGACUUCAGUCGUCUGGGACCGGGACCUGUGGCAACAGUUCUCCAUGCUGGAGGCCCUUGUGGCAUGGAGGCAGCUGUCUACAGAAGGAAAGAUGACUGUAAGCAGAGAAGCAAGAGAAAGAGACGGGAACAGGUGAGCGGUGCUCCAGAAAGCUGGAGUCUCAGAACAGGGACAGAGAGGGACUGCAGACCCACAUGGAGAGAAGACAGAGAGAACCGAGAGGGUCUGACUUCAUCAUGGAGGCCUGGCCCAGCCCUGCCUGUAUGGCCUGGGCCCCCGGGGCCAGUCUGCUGUGGGUGCAGCCGCAGGUCUCCAGCUCCCUUGCAGCUCCUUCAAGCUGGCACCCACCCUGAGGUGCUCUGUCAGGGAGGUCCCAGCCGCCAGGCUGGUGCACUGGAGGGCCUGUUUCCUCAUCUCAGCCUCAGAUCCUCCACACCCUAACAAGCUGGGAGCAGAGACAAAGACUUCAACCACUCGUUCAUGUGACGGUGUGACCUGGCAACUGCUUUUCUGACCCAAAUCAGUGAAGGUGGGAGCUGGGGUGUGGGCAGCAGCCACCUAGUGAGAAAGGAUGUGAUGGGUUUUGGCCACAGGCAGUGUUAAUUGCUUAUGAUGUUAGUUAGGCCCAUGAAAUGGGGCUGGGGGCAAAAGCUUCUGAGUCGAGGGAGAAAACCUGCUCGGUGGAUGCACCAUGCUUGUGCCGAUUUGGGGGCAUAGUGGGUGUGUCUGUCAGCCCAGAAGAGCUUCACUAGGUCCUUCAAGAGCCUUUGCUGAAGGGACAUCACCCUCGGUGCAGGCGAAAGCACCAGGGGCCCGCAAGGGGCAGGAGUACGGCCAGGGGUGAGGUGGCCGAGCAGAGCCCAGGGAUGGCCUGGUGUGGAGGAGGGCCACCUGCCUGAGAGGGUCAGGACAGCCCAGGACAGGGACAGCCAGGAAGAAGUACCCAGCCAUGAUCAGGGCCCUCCGGUGGGCUGACCCCAGCUAGAAGUCAGCAGGCCGGUGUGCCUGGGCUCAGCCUCCAGGACCACAGCAGAGGGGACAGGGUGGCGGGACCAGCAGGAGAUCAGCUCUGUGGGCAUCACCCAUCCCCUCCCAGACCUGGGGUCCUCUCAGCUGCUAGCAGCCUCUUAGGGGCAGGGAGGGUCCCCACAUUCUGUGUGCUCAGCGCCCCACAUCUGAGUGGAUGAGGGUGGCCCCUGGGCGCCUGGGCUCUGCAGGCUGCUCUGAAGGUGCUGGGCGGAUGGGAGGGCUGCACUGUGGCUGGAAAGGCCUCCCUUCUCCCCCGGAGUCAUGGGGUCUGCAGUCCCCUGGGGUGGCCCUCGGCCAGCCAGGCUCAGCAGAGGCUAGUGGUCAGCUGGGAGGUGACUUCUUCUCGUGGGGCAGAAUCCCAUUAGCCCUGCAUGAGAUGGGCUAAUGGGUGCCUCUGAGAGCCAGCUCAGGAACAUUCAGUUCCUGCAGCCCCUCCUCCUAGGAAGUCCAGCAGAGCCAGGGUGCUGCCUCGGAGCUGGCCCAGGGGUGCAAGGUGGGUGACUCUCGUGCUGAGGCCUGGAUAUGGGCUGGCCAGCCCCACCAGACCGACUCCUGGCAGCCCCCAGCCAGCCCCCUGUACUUGUUCCAGACUGGGCAGAGGCUCAAGGGUCCUCCCUGUCCAAGGACAGACUCCUCCAGGAAUGAGGCUCCUUCCAGCCAACAGGGCCAAGCCUGGUUGCUGUAAUGUCAAUCUGCGUGCCUCUGCCUCUCAGCAGAACUCCCCAGCAACGCUCCCAUCCUGGUCCAUGGGCCACCUCUCCACAUCCUCAGGCUCCAGCAAUGCACCCUCAACAGACCCAUGGGGGCUCACGAGCUCCCAGCAACGCACCCUCAGCAGACCCACGGGGGCUCACGAGCUCCCAGCAAUGCACCCUCAACAGACUCACUGGGGGGUCACGAGCUCCCAGCAAUGCACCCUCAACAGACUCACUGGGGGGUCACGAGCUCCCAGCAAUGAACCCUCAACAGACCCACGGGGGCUCACGAGCUCCCAGCAAUGCACCCUCAACAGACUCACUGGGGGGUCACGAGCUCCCAGCAAUGAACCCUCAGCAGACCCACGGGGGCUCACGAGCUCCCAGCAAUGCACCCUCAACAGACUCACUGGGGGGUCACGAGCUCCCAGCAAUGCACCCUCAACAGACUCAUCGGGAGGUCACGAGCUCCCAGCAAUGCACCCUCAACAGACCCACGGGGGCUCACGAGCUCCCAGCAAUGAACCCUCAACAGACCCACGGGGGCUCACGAGCUCCCAGCUAUGCACCCUCAACAGACCCACGGGGGCUCACGAGCUCCCAGCAAUGCACCCUCAACAGACUCAUUGGGGGCUCACGAGCUCCCGGUCCGAGGCCUCCUUUGGCAGCAGGGACUCAGGAGGGAGAAGAGUGAGCCCUUGGCCACAUGGUUGGUCAAAUCAACUCCUAGAGGUUGUGACCCUUCUCUGCUGUGGCCUUCACCAAACCACGCAUGUUGGGUGGAGGGGAAGUGGCCUCUGUGGCUGCCCCAGCUGGCAGAGUGUGGUCUGUCCUGCUCUAAACUGGGUCCCCAGAAGGCACUGCUCUCCAGAUGGGCUGGUGAGACUCCUUGGUGUCCAGCUGCUUAUGACCAGCACAGUUAGGGGCUGUCGUCAGCACCGCCACUGGUACCUGCAGAGCCGAGUCCACUCCUGGGGCCGGCUGGAUCAGGGUGCAGCCAGGGUGUGGGGCACCAGGGAGCUCUCCGGGACCCCCAAAGCCAGAUGCGGCCCUGUCCACUCGUGCUCUGUGGACGGAGAAGGCAGAGUCCCAGGACACUGUGCUCAGGAAAGCGAGCUCCAGAGGAGGCUGAGGAGAUUUGGGAGUGCCCAGGACAGCCUGGCCCUGUGCAGGUCCAUGGGAAAACCUUCCACUCUCCCCUUUCAGGGAGGUCUGGGGGCUUGGCUGCCUCUCAGCGGGCCAGGGCGACUUCUCAUCAUUUCCGCAAUGGAUGCAGCUCUGGCCUGGGGGGGUGGGGAGGAGCCUCCAGCCCUGGCCCCUCCGCCCCAGCCCUCGCUAGCGGCAUGACUGUGGGUGAACGGCGGCACCUGAAAGCCUCAGUUUCCCUGUCUGUGAAGGGAUGCACAGUGUCAGUUUGACCCCCGGAGGCUGCAGUGAGGACGGGGCCCAGGAGGUCAGGAGAGCAGCCCGUUUCUGGCCAGGGCACCGUGGUGUUUGUGGAACACAGCCCCACUGACUUCAGCUGCUGGGGCAGAAAGAGCCGUGAGAAGAGUCGAUCUCCCAGGGGCUUCAUGUGUCUUUUUGCUGCAUUUUACUCACACACGACCCUCCUAGUCCAUGUAAGAGAAGAUAAGUUUAUGGAACAAACCCAGUAUUUACUUAACUUUUAAAAUAUAAGCUUCACAGACCAGCGUUACAUAAAAAGAAGAGAUGCUUUCUGGCCAAGCUUUGCUCCUUGCCGCGUUUCCCCCGCUGUCUUCUCAUGGAGCUGAGAGCAAACCGCUUCCAACCUCGGAAAAGGUGAAACAGAGGCCGCUGGCGCUAUUUUAAGCAUGAACUUACAAAGUAAAAGCAGCUGUGACAUGAAAGUUUUAGGAACAUUUCCAUUUCCUGGAGCGAUGGAACAGACAGCAUUGCCAGCAGGUCCUGAGCAGCCGGAAUCAGCUGCUUGGAUGAGUGGGGCAUCCAGGCCUCCGCAGCCCAGCCUGGCACUGCGAGGCCCCGGCUGUAUGUAAGGGCCGAGUGUCAGUAAUUCAUCGUGGUUGGGGAGAUGGGCCAAGGCUGAGGUCGGUGUGUCCAGCCCGGGUUCACCCCCUGGGCCCCAUCAUAUGCUGGGCUCUGAGGGGAGAGGAUGGUUUUAACAUGGGCCCUGCCUUAACCCUCUCAGAGCCUGUGUGCGUCUGGCCUGUGUGCCCAUUCUUCCUGCCUGCUGUCCCCAUCCCUCCCUCUAGCUGAGGCCAAAGUCCUUGAUGGGGCCCCAGGAGACUCAUGGGGACCCCUCUGGCCUUCCUUGGCUCCCUACUCCCAAGGUUCCCAAGGUGCCUGCCCAGGAGGCCCCCAGGGGCUGCAGUGGGGGGUGAUGACUCCAUGGGAUCCAGGCGUACAUGGCUGCCUUGCUGUUGCCUGUGGGCUGAGCCAGCUCCGGGGCCUUCACCCCCAUCCUGGGCUGGAGAGGGUCCCAGGGAUCACCUCAGCGGCGCCCGCCUGGGGGCCCAGAGGCAGCAGCACUUGGGCUUGGGGCUGCGUUUCCUGGGGGCGCCCACGGACAACACUGCCUCCUGGCCCCGGGGCUGGCGUCCCCUGGGUGUUCACCAUCCAUGAUGGUGUCCCUGGCAGACCCGUUCCAGGGGAUAUCCUUGUUAGUGUUUGGGAAGUCGAAGCAAUCGCAGCUGUGCCCCGCCCAGCACAGGGAAAUCUGGGGACAGAGCUGCAGAGGGAGUUGCUGUUUCCCUCCAGGCUUCCUGAGGAACUGGAACCGGAGCCACCCCAGGCUGAUCAUGGGCCGGAACCCAGGUUACUACAGACCUCACUCUCUUUCCAGAAGGUUCCCGGGAUGCCCCGGCUCAUGUGCUGUCUGGACCCAGAGGCCGUGUUCUCUUGCACGAGGCGUGAACACCUCCUCAGCACGGAGAGCUGAUCCUGCUGUUUGGAGCGAUCCCAGAGUCCAGCCCUCGGGGCAGGCUCACCUUUGAGGCCGUGGGAGGGGGUUUGAGGUCAAAACAUAGAAGCAUCCACGGGGCCUCCUGCCCUCUGACCUGACCUCCCUCCUGGGAGUUAGCACGAGGCCACAGUGUUGUCUCUGGGGCUUCCCCGGGGGAGCUUUGCUCAUGGACACGGGGACCAGGCAGCAUCUGGGGUCCCCGCUGAACAUUUGGUAAUGAACAUGGCAGUGCUCUUCCCAGCACCCUCCCCGGAGCAGACAGACCAGGAGGCAAAGUCUGGGCAUGACAACACUGUGUCCGGACACCAGAGGGGGAGGCGGCUGUCCAGAGAGGCUGCGUCUCCUCCAUGGGGAAACAGCCCCGUGCCUGACAACAGCAACACAGCCUCCUGGUGCCGGCCCCACAGCUCAGGUGCUCUCACCACCUGGAGGAGUAGCUGGGAUUACAGGAAAGGAAAGAGGAGCCCAGCAGGGGUUAGACAGGGUUAGCGGCUGCUGGGGAGUGAGCUGGCCAGCGGUCUGGGAAGUGUGGCUCGUGCCUCCGACCUUCACCCCGCAGAGGCCCUGAGUCCCUUAGGGAUAAAAUCUCCACCGAUCCUUGUAGGUUUCACAAUGUUAAACAAGUGUGCUCUGUGACCUGGUGUCUUCCUCGGGGAUUUGUCCAGAAAACAAUCAGAAGGUGGGCAAAGAUACAGGCCCAAAGGCACCUCGGCUGCUUGUUUCAGCGGCCAAAAAAGCAGACGUGAUAUAAAUGUCCAUCGGCAGGUCUGGGUGGAGCAAGUUACGGCACCGGCCCACGUGCCCUUCAAUGUAGGCGGGGCUUCUCCAGAGGGAGGAGCACAGAGACACGCCAAGCUGUGCCCGGACCAAAUCACAGGUGCACUUGGCCUCACGCCCGCACCCCCGCCUUUUCCUGCGCUGGCCUCCAUAGCGGCUGUAGGAACCGCUAGGGAAAGGUCUUGGGGGGACACAACCUGCUUUUACUUUUUUGUAGUUUGUAUUUUUUACAAGGGGUAUCAUUUUUAUAAUCAGACAAUACAUGAAGCUACUUUCAGGGUCAACCAUCCACACGAACUCUGAGUCUCUGCGUUUGGGGCCGGGCCCUGCCCCCAGGGUCUCUGCAGUGGAAGGACUGGAGCUGUGUUCUGGGUCCCACGGGCUGGAGGCAGCGCUGACUGGGUUGAGCCUGGGGCUUUCUCUGUUGCAAAAGUGCACCCUCCUCAGAUGGGGAUGGGGAGUGGCCUUCACUAGGGUGGUCCUCCUGGCUGAGCAGGGCCGGCCCAGGGGAGGGCGGGGCCAGCACGUCCCCAGAACAGUGCCUGUCCAGGGGCACAAGGGUUCACUGAAGACUCAGGAGAGGGGUUUAGAGCACAGCCUCCCUCUCCAGGGUCAGGUUCACGGGAGCUGUUGGGGGCUCCUUCCCUCGCAGCAGUGACCACUCCAAGGACCACGGCCUGGACAUGAGCGGCAGCGGAGUCUAGAUGAAUAUAGGCAGCAGCCAAAGGCCACAGUCACGACAAACCUACACACUCUCACCACUGUCAUCUCAUAUUGUCCUAAAAUUUCCAGCCAGUGCAAAAAAACAUGAAAAAGAAAAAAUACAGCCAUUGGAAAAGAGGAAAAGUAAUUGUUAUUAGCUGAUGAUGUGAAUGUCUUCCUGAAAACCUUAAGAGAACCAACUGGAAAACAACCAGAAAUGAGAGCAUGGAGUUAGGCAACCGCCGAUCUGCUUUCUGUCACUUGGGCGAGUUUUUCCCGUCCUGGGAUUUCAUAUCUCUGGAAUCCUGCAGUACGUAGCCCUCUGUCUGGCUUCCUCGCUCCGUGUAAUGUUCUUGAGAUUCAUCCAUGCAGCUGUGUAUACCUGCAGUGAUUGUUUCUCUUGUUGAAUUGCUGAGAAGGGUUCCAUCGUAUGCCUUUUCCAGUUUAUUUGUUCAUCUGUUGUUAGACAUUUGAGUUAUUUCCAGCUUGGGACUCUUAUGAACAAAACUGCUAUAAACAUGCAUAUUCAAGUCUUUGUGGAUAUGUGCUUUCUUUUGUCCUGGAUAAAUGUCUCCACGUGGGCUUCCUGGGUCUCACGGACCUCACCAGCUGACGUGGCCGGCCCUGGACUUGCCAUGGAGAAGGCAGAGCCUGCCUCCCAGUGGGUCCCUGUGAGGAACAGCAGUACCGGCUUGUCGUCUUUCUGGGAAAUGCAUUUCGCCUCCUCUAGGAACCUCCCGGAUGACCCAGAGUGUUCUCCACCCACUUUUCCUGCCCUGUGCGGUCACCUCAUUUCUACAGGCUUGGGGAAACAAAUGCAAAGUGCUUUCCAGAACGUUUUUGUCUUACACAUGACACUUCUAUGGAAAAAAUGACUUUUUUUCCAUUGUUCCUUCCAGAACCUGAGCACAUCCCUCUGCUGGGAGGACGCUGUCUGUCCAAAUGUCACUGUCCCCCAUUUAGGAGCAGCAGCAGGGCCUUGCUUCAUGUUCAUAUGGGUGUUGAUUGGGAUAUGAUGGAUUCUUCUGUGUACUUUGGAGGAUUUUCUCCUUAGUUUGAAUAGUAAACUGUAAACUCAGACUCA